rnacentral:lncRNA from 1 species
UUUUAAAAAAAGUCACAGAAGAAUGUGGAGACACUUAGCAAAACGGACUCUCAUAAGAGUGUUCGAUGGUGCUGCUACUAAUGAAAGAUUUGAGGAAACUCCUAAGGUCCCUCCAGUGUACAACAAUUUGGGAACUUCCAUUUUCUCAACAACUGCUCUUCCAAGAUGCUGCCUCAUUUCAGAGCCAUGUUUUACUCAUGAGCUGGUCCUGUCCAGAAAACAGCCAAUGCUCAUUCCCGACACUUUCUUGUCACUGCUCUUUUCUGUUCCCUAUUUUGUCAGUAAGGAAGUAAACAACCGCUAAAACAACCCUCUAACAACAGAAGACCCUCAUGAGAACACCAGGCAGCAGAAGCUUCUUUAGCAGUAAAAGAUAUCUGGAUAUUCAUAUUUUGUUCCAUGAUCUUCAACAUUAAAUAAAUAAACUUAA